UACUGUCACCACCAUCAUCACCAUCAUCAUCAUCAUCCUCACUCUAUUAUUGUGUCAUCUUUGUUUUGUCCAAAUAAAGAAACAAGCAUUCAUUCAAUUCCAUGGAAAGGACUUGAGAAGCCUAGAGACUUUUAAGUAGCUGUUUAUUGUGGUAAAAUAUAACAAACAUAAAAUGUAUUGUUUUAACCAUGUUUAAGUACACAGAUCAGUAGCAUUAAGUUCAUUAUUGUCAACUGUCACCACCAUCCAGCUCCAGAAUUUUUUCAUCUUGCCAAACAGAACUUCUGUACACAGUAAACAUGAACCCCCCAUUUCCUCCUCCUCACAGCCCCAGGCAACCACUAUUCUACUGUCCACCUCUAUGACCUUGACUGCUCUAGGCACAUCCUAUGAAUGGAAUCAUCCAGUGUUUGUCCUUUUGUAACUGGUUAAUUUCACAUAGCAUCAUGCCUUCAGGGUUUGUCUACAUGUAGCACGCAUCGGAAUUUCAUUCCUUUUUAUGUCUGAGUAAUAUUCUACUGUAUGGAUAUGGCACAUUUUGUUUAUCCAUUUAUCUGUCGAUGGACAAUUGAGUGUCUGUCACCUUUUUGCUACUGUGAAAUUUGCUACUGUGAAUAAUGAACGUGGAUAAUAACACUCCCUCUUCUCCAAAAUGAAGAUUAAGCUUCAACUAUUCCCUAGUGCUCCCACUCAGAGUUUCUCCUCUUGACUGUACAUGAAGUCACACCCAGGAAAUACCAUGAUCAGAAACAGGCACUUUCCUGCACUCAUGGUGCUCACAGUUGCAUUGGGGAACAAAUAAAUCCACACCCAAAAGGAGACGUUGCUGCCAACUGUGACUAUGUGCUAUGAAGGGAAAAAAGAGAGGCUUUUGGAAGAGAAGAAAGGUAAAGUCCUGCUUUAUCCGGACAGGAAGGAUGCCCUUAGAAGGAGCCUCCAGUGUAAAAAGAACUUCCCAGGAAGAAGACAAAAGGCCAUCUGAACUAUGGCAUGGGGUCUUUGCCAUUUAUUACCCACUGAGCAGGAAGUACAUGGCCACAGUGAUUUAUAGCAGUGUGCUGGGUGCAGCUCAUACCAGCCCACAAGAGCUAAUCAUUAAAUUUUCAGGAAUUUUAUGAGCAGCUUGUGAAAUGCAAUCAUAAAAUUAAAUUAUAUAAGCUUACAAUUGUAUGGAGUACACUAGUUAUUAGCAUGAAUUGUACCUAUAUGGUUGAAACACAUAUAAUGGUAUCUAUGCAUCUCUCCCCAACUCCACAUUCAAUGACGUCACACUGGUAGCUUGAAAUAAGCCACAAUGGGAAUAUUUACACCAGGGAUAAUGGCCAGUGCUGCAAAUCAGGGUUUGAUCAUUUUGUUGAUUGUCUGGAUUUAAGAAAGUGAUGUACAGAGUGUUAAUAAGACAGGUUAAACUUAAAGGUAUUAUGUGUCUGUGGCCAUUAUAUUGUGAAUGGUACAGACAGCUGAGGAAACAUUCUUCUAUUAUUUAAAAACCAUUACAAAUGGUCCCCAACUUAGCAAUGGUUGGACUUAGAAUUUGUCUGAGUUUACAAUAGUGCAAAAUCAAAAAUGCACUUACAAUAUUCGACCUACAGUAUUUUCAACUUACAAUAGGUUUAUCAGAAUGUAAGCUCAACAUAAGUGGAAGAGCAUCUGUAUUCAGUUCAGCAAAGAAAUUGUUCACGUCAUUGACAACGAAUGAAGUACCAACAUACGUCUUUGUUGUUUUUGCCUGACUCAUUAAGGUAAACAAAAAUAUCUACCAGCAUUCAUGUCAGAGCUACCUUCAGAGAGCCGCUUGUUAAACAUUUAUCAGCACACAACUGAGUCAUUACAGUGCCUUUCACAUGAAAAAUCAAGAACUGUGGCUAUAAUGGAUUUUUUUAUUAUUUCUAGAAAUGGAAAAACUUUUAGAAAGUAUUUCUCAGUUAACAUUAGUGAGCCAUUAGGGUGGUUUGAGGGGGACUCUAAGACAGAGUAACUGAAAUUGAGGCUUGUCUAGAAAAUUCUCAGAUUCGUCAUCCUCAGAACAGUAGCUUGAAACACAACUCUGGGCCGGACGUGGUGGCUCACGCCUGUAAUCCCAAUACUUUGGGAGGCCAAGACAGGUGGAUCACCUGAGGUCAGAGGUUUGAGACCAGCCUGGCCAACAUGGAGAAACCCCGUCUCUACUAAAAAUACCAAAAUUAGCUGGGCGUGGUUGUGCACACCUGUAAUCCCAGCUACUCGGGAGGCUGAGGCAGGAGAAGCACUUGAACCCUGGAGGCAGAGGUUACAGGGAGCCAAGAUCACACCACUGCACUCCAGCCUGGGCAACAGAGCGAGACUCCAUCUCAAAAAAAACAAAACAAAACACUACUCUGUUGUGUCCACUCAUUCAAUUCCAUGGAAAGGAUCUGAGAAGCCUAGAGACUAAAUAUUUAUUUAUUGUGGUAGAAUAUAACAAACAUAAAAUGUAUUAUUUUAACCAUAUUUAAGUGCACAGUUCGGUAGCAGUAAAUUCAUUACUGUGAUGUGACUGAUUGAUAGAAGGGGUGAUGGGUCGAUUGAUUCCAGUUCUACUACGAACUUUAUGCAUAAACUCGGGUAGUUUCCUUUUGCCUCAGUUUCCUCCUCUAUAAAAUGAAGACAAGAUGCUUUCUCUGACUGCGUCUGAAGAGGUCUGGGAAUCAGGUACGGGACGAGUGAGUUGGGACUUGCUUGGAUGGAAUGACAGACACCCAAGGUAAACACGCUUAAUGGGGAAAGGAGAGAUUAAUUGGUUUUCAACAUUAGUUUGGAUACCGAAUAGUUCAAACAUUCAAAGGAAAAGUUUUCAUGUUUCUCCCUUUAUCUGUUCUUUCCUCAACUCAUCACAGUGGCCUUAACUGUCUCCUACUCCAGACACACCUUCUCUAAUGUGUCUGGUACCCUCCCUACAAACCUCAAUGGAAAAAGAGUUUGUGCUGCCAGGUUCAAAUACCCAUCUCACGGAUAAGGCUCUCAUUGGCUCUGCUUGGGUCAUGUGCUUGCCUCACGGACCAAUCACUGUCAUCAGAGGUAUUGGAUGCUGUGAUUGGUCAGCCCUGGACCACGUAACUAACCACUUUCUGCAGCCAAGGUGAGCCCGGUCUAUUUCUAGGAGAAUGGCAAUGGGAAUGCUCUCUAGGCAGAUGAAAGCCAACAGUCCACGUCAGGAGGUGAAUGUGUGUUGGAAAGAUUAAAGUGACAAGCAGGAAGGAUAAGAAUGAUUAGUCUCAGAAUAAAGAGACACGGGUUGCCUGUAGCUUACACACGGACUUAGUCAUUUAACAAUCUUUUCACAGUGCGUGGUUAAUCCUGUCGCUCCAUGCUGGAAACCCUGUAAGGUCUUCCUGAUCUGGGUGCUGCGCGGAACUCUGAGCUCAUUUUGGAUCCUCUUCCUAUCCUUCAAUGCCCCAGUCCCACGGCGCCUUUCUGUUUCAAGACUGUGUCUCUCCCUCUCCUUCUUCAAGGUCUUUUCUUUCUUUCUUUCUUUCCUUUCCUUUUCUUUCUUUCUUUCUUUUUUUUUUUUUUUGAGACGAGGUCUCACUCUGUCGCCCAGGCUGGAGUCUCGGCUCAGUGCAACCUCCAUCUCCCGGGUUCAAGCGAUUCUCAUGCCUCAGCCUCCCGAGUAGCUGGGAUUACAAGUGAGUGCGGCAACGCCUGGUUAAUGUUUGUAAUUUUAAUAAAGACAGGGUUUCACCAUGUUGGCCAGUCUGGUCUCAAACUCCUGACCUCAAAUGAUCCGCCCCUGCCUCGGCCCCCCAAAGUGCUGGGAUUAUAGGCGUGAGCCACUGCCCCUGGCCCCUCAAGGUCUUUUCACAAAUGUUUCUUCUCGCCUAGAAUGUUCUUCCCCCAAAUCUAAUCCCAAUCAAUCUUCUGGUCUGUUUUCCCCAUACACCACAGAAACAGCACCGACUUGUUUUUAUUUCUCUUGCCCACCAGGGCUCGGCACGGCACAUGGCACAAAGUAGACAGUCAACAAAUCCUUCUGAGGCUAAGCUGAAGGAUGCAGCAGAGAGAUGGAUCAGACACCUUGUCAAGCAACGUGUUCUUUGUCUCCAAAAUCAAAGCCUGCUUUUCAUCCUGAGAAAUUCAGGGUUUGGCAUCUUGGAGGCACACGGUAAAUACUUCUAAGCAUGAAAGAUAUGAAUGGGAUGAAUAGGGAUGACAUUGAUUGUGGUAGAAUGGAAGGGAUGAAGUGGAAAUGAUGGAAUGUAUGGAAUAAAAUGCAAUGGAGUAGAAUGGAAUGGAGUGGAUUCAAAUGGAACGAGAUGGUACAAAAAAUAUAAUACAAUAGAAUAAGAUGAAAUGGGAAGGGUGGAAUAAAGUGGAGUGAAAUGGAAUGGAAUGGAGUAGAGCGAAGCAGAAAAGAAUGGAGUGGGGUGAGAUGGUGUGGAAUGGGAUAGUUGCAGGAUUG
rnacentral:lncRNA from 1 species